CCAAGAGAUAUAUGUAAGUACUUGUUUUUUAAUACUAUCGAACAUGAUGGCAAUGGUCCGUUUUAGUUAUUUUUUGUGUACAUAUUUUAAAAACAGUCUGGGCUGCAAUGAAACAGCUUUUCCAGCUAUUUAGAGUCAAAGCAGUUGAGGCUUAACUAAUUGGCACAGGUUUUCCCUAUGAAACCUUGGUAUAUUUAAUAAACCAUAUUACAUAUUAUUAAAAUCAAGGUGUUUGACAAAUUGAUAUUUCUGAAUGUUUAAUCAUUACGAGUAUGAAUUCAAUCCUUUAUCAAAGCAACUGCAAUCAGUGAUAUCUGAAAUGAAUAAGGUUCAGGUUCUUGACGAGAUAAUAUUUAAUUAUUGUCAGGACUAUUUUAUCAUUGGUUUUAAACACAAAUUAUAAUUUCUGUCAUAGUUCUUACUUUGAUGAUGUACAUAUAAUAUUCACACAAAUUUGUAUUCACGGUAUCAAAUAUAUUUGGUCAUUGCUAUUGUGUUCAUUUGAUAUAGAAGUAGAACAUAGAAAUAUUCUGUAUUUAGUUGAAAUAGAAGUAGAAUUUAUGCCACAGUUUAUUUAGAUUAAAUUCAGAAAAUGACAGUAACAAAGUUGGCGCAUGUUCUUUUGUCUUCUGUACUGAAUAAUGAAAUACUGAACUUAUAUUUAAUUUAGCGUAGCAGCAUACUUAUUGUAAUAUUUUUAAUAUGUUCAGAUGAAAAUGCGUAUGGAAUAUUCCCUCUUCAGAUCGAGUUUUACCAACAUCCGAAAGUUGUUUUUUUUAAAUCAAAUAUUUUAUAGCUUACAC
rnacentral:sRNA from 1 species